GAUGAACGUUGGCGGCGUGCCUAAUACAUGCAAGUCGAACGAAGAGCUUAAAGUAGCAAUACUUUGAUAACUCUUAGUGGCGAACGGGUGAGUAACGCGUUGGUGACCUGCCCCAAAGAUAGGGAUAACAGUUCGAAAGGACUGCUAAUACCUAAUGUUAUCAUUUGGCUUAGAUGCCUUUUGAUUAAAGGAGCUUGCUCCACUUUGGGAGGGGCCUGCGUCCCAUCAGCUAGUUGGUAGGGUAAUGGCCUACCAAGGCUAUGACGGGUAGGGGACCUGAGAGGGUGGCCCCCCACAAUGGAACUGAAACACGGUCCAUACACCUACGGGUGGCAGCAGUAGGGAAUAUUGGUAAUCUGCGAAAGCGGGAACCAGCAACGCCGCGUGCGCGAUGAAGGCCUUCGGGUUGUAAAGCGCUUUUCGGGAGGAAGAGGAAGGACUGUACUCCCGGAAUAAGUCUCGGCUAACUACGUGCCAGCAGCCGCGGUAAUACGUAGGAGGCUAACGUUAUCCGGAUUUACUGGGCGUAAAGCGCGUGCAGGCGGUUCGUUAAGUUGGACGUGAAAGCUCCCGGCUCAACUGGGAGAGGUCGUUCAAUACUGGCGGACUUGAGGAUGGUAGAGGGAGGUGGAAUUCCGGGUGUAGCGGUGGAAUGCGCAGAUAUCCGGAGGAACACCAGUGGCGAAAGCGGCCUCCUGGACCACUCCUGACACUCAGACGCGAAAGCUAGGGUAGCAAACG
rnacentral:rRNA from 1 species